AUACCCGGGUAGUCCCAGCUGUAAACGAUGCAGACUAGGUGUUUGGACGGCCACGUGCCGUUCUAGUGCCGCAGGGAAGCUGUUAAGUCUGCCGCCUGGGGAGUACGAUCGCAAGAUUGAAACUUAAAGGAAUUGGCGGGGGAGCACCACAAGGGGUGAAGCUUGCGGUUUAAUUGGAGUCAACGCCGGAAAUCUCACCGGGAGCGACAGCAGUAUGAAGGCCAGAUUAAAGGUCUUGCCAGACGAGCUGAGAGGAGGUGCAUGGCCGUCGCCAGUUCGUGCCGUGAGGUGUCCUGUUAAGUCAGGCAACGAUCGAGACCCGCGUCCACUGUUGCAACUAGCUUUGUGCUGGGCACACUGUGGAGACCGCCACUGAUAAAGUGGAGGAAGGAGCGGGCCACGGCAGGUCAGUAUGCCCCGAAUCUCCCGGGCCACACGCGAGCUGCAAUGGCAGGUACAAUGGGUUCCGACCUCGAAAGGGGAAGGCAAUCUCGAAAGCCUGCCGUAGUUGGGAUCGAGGGCUGUAACCCGUCCUCGUGAACAUGGAAUCCCUAGUAAUCGC
rnacentral:rRNA from 1 species